rnacentral:sRNA from 1 species
CCUAGUCCUUAUUAGAAGCAAAAUGGCGGCAAUUUAGGACGUAAUAAGGGUUAAGGACACUUAAGGACACUUUGGAACACACUGUAGACACAUACAUAUAUAUUGCUGGAGGAUACCUAUAUCGGGCAUUCGCGAAUGUCCACCGCUGGUAUUGACGGAUUAUAAAUAAUAAAUAGUACACACUUUACACACUGUCGAUCAGGAAAUUGAACACAAAAUUCGCACUUGUCUCCAUUGGGUUUGACAUCACACUGUUCCUCAGUUUGUGGCAGAUCAUCACCUGAAUCCCGCAAACUGAGAACACAAUCCUGGACACAAGCCGAAUAAUUAGGAUAUCACAUAACUUGUUCAAUAAAGAUUAUAAUCUUCAAA